CAAGUUUUAUGUAGCACCAGCAGAGAAAUUGUAUGAAGAAAUUAAGUCACCGAUUCAAGUUAUCAAGAUAGGAUUAACAGAAGAUAUGAUCAUACCAGAAGAUAUUGGACAUCAAAACGAAAUACCAAAAAUAGAUAUACCAAAUUUUUAUGCCAAUAAAAGAAUAAUUGGUAUAUCAACUAUUAUACAGGAGUUAGCACACAACAAUUUAAAUGGAAACGCUAUAUGGAGUUAUUACGCUAGAGAUCAAAUUAUGAUAUAUUCAAACACCAGAGACUUAAGAAGAGAAGAUAUGGAUGAAGUCCAGCGAUGGAUUUUGUCACUAUUAAAACCAGAAGAACAAACUACGACAAGAGCAUUGAAAAAGGAAUUUAUUUAAGAAGAAUUAUUAACCAGAUAUUGCAAACUUAUUGGACAUAAAUAUCCAGAUCACAGAUGCUCCAAAUGCAAUGGAGAAGAUAACAUAAUACCAUAUGUUUAUUUGGAAUAAGGACAAGGAGAUAAAGAUACAAGAUAAGAUAAGGAUGAAGAAAAGAAAAAGAGAUAUGGCAGACAAAGAAAAAGUGACAAAAGAAAAAGAGACAUAGAUAGAGAUAAGAUUCCUUUGUACAGUAAAUAACUUUUGCUUUUUUGAAAGGCCAAUGUGUAUAGCCGGCCAUUUGUAAAGUUUUGUUCAAAAGUCGUAAAGUGUACAGUAGACGCACUUAUGUGCAGACUUAGGAUUUAGUAUAUAUAGAUUGCCAAAUUGUAAAUGAAAGGCAGGCAAUGCCAAACUAAAGUUCAAGUUAAUAAACCCUCUCUCAAAAUACAAAGCUCUCUCAAAGAUACAAACUAAGAAAAACAUAUGGAAAAAUCGAAAAUACAAUGAGAUAUCUCAGAUAGCAUGACAAACAAGAGGCAAAGGUAUUGAAAUAACCUAAAUACGAUUAACAUUUAAUAAGCAAUGGUCAAAAAGGAAUACAGCGUAACACAAAAUGGCGGCUUCUGUUCCAGGUAAUGUUCAAUUGAUAGAUUUAUUUAUAUAGGUACAAGUCUUAAUAUUAUUAUUAUAAUUAUGUUGGAGUAUUUGUACAGAAAAAGGAGAGAAUUGCCGUUAAAAAAGAUUAAUAUGAAAUUUAUUAGGAUUGCACUAACGUUCUAUUACUUGAGGAAUUGAGAGUUUUGUUGGUUAUUAUGGUAAAUAUAGGACUAACAGUGGAGGCAAUCAUUAGAAAAAGUAUAUAAAUUGAAAUGUUUUGAUGGUUUUAAUCUGCCCCUCUCAGAAAAUAUAACCAAUGGCGUAGUCUAUUGCUGAUUUGAGUUGGUGUUUAUUUUUACUUUUGCUUACUGUAUUGUAAAUAAUGUUUUAAGAUAUUAAGAUAGGCAAUUAAAUAGUAGGUGUAUUCUAUUACUUGAAAACUUUUAAAAUUAUAGUAAUUGGAGAAAUUAAGACUUAGCCUUAGCCUUGAAAUGUGGAAAAUAUGAGAGUUGACAUGUUAAUUGACAUGAAGAUUGAGAGUUUGAUUAUAAUUCGGGUUAGUUUUAGGUCUAAUCUAGAUAUAUGCUAAUAUGAGUGUCGUUAGUUCGAACGUCUUAUUGUAAUUACUUAUUUUAAUAGAUUGAAUUUAUUUGGAGGUUGAAUGAAAGGGAAAGACUCACGUCGCAAGAGUGAUAGUUCGACUAGCUUGAGGCAAGUGAAUUUCUAAACUCUUGUUAAGUGUAUAUAAUGUGUGUAUUUCCUCGUGGUUUAUGUUUGGGAGUAAUGGGAAUUUGUAAUCGGUUAAUUUGUCCACAUUUAUUAAUUCUGAUAAUGCAAAAAGGGUAAUACAAUUGUUUUUGUUAUGUUUUAGAAUGGAGAAUGAUUUGAAAGACUUGUUGAAUCAUUGUUGAUAUUGUAUCAUGAUUGUGAUGUUGUGAAUCGUGCAAUGUUAUGAAUGGUCAUAUCCUCUUUAUUUGAAGGAACAUGUCAUUUGCAUUAUUCUGAGACAUGGUUGUGACAAGUGUUAUGUGGAUCGAGAAAGAAUGAGAACUUAAAGAAGAUGUGUCCUUUCGAGGGACGUAUUACGUGCUGCAAUGGAUACAAUAUAUUGAGGGACAUAUCGCAAGCCGCGAUGGUUACUAUUAUUAAGGGAUGUGUUGUGCGCCGCGACAGAUGCAUCGACAGAUAUGUCCCCCAUAGGUACCGGACUAAGAGAAAUCGGGUGUGUAUCACUAGGUCAGACAUGAAUCAUUAUACUUGACAUUGUAUUCCAUGACAUUGCACAUACUUAUCAUUAGUGAACUUGAUAUUGUGUUUUGAUGAUUUUGUGAAUGGCUUUCUAUGGAAUGUGUGAUUGAUGAAUACCGAGCUUGCUGUUGAGUUUAUGUAAUUUGUUAAAGUGUUGUUGUUCAGGAUAUGCAAUUUGUCUAAGUGUUGUUGUUGAGGAUAUGUCAUUUUUCUAAGUGUUGUUAUUGAUCUAUGUGCUAUAUAAAAUGUGAGCCGUCAGGUUUGGAUGAGUUUCAUAUAGGUUGUAGUUUUGGAGGUUCGAUUGAGGUGGUAGGAGUUCCCGUAUUUCAUCCCAUUAGGUUGUGUAUAGAGGUUUACUUGCGGAGUACCUUGUUGUUGGGUAUUCAACCAUUGCUUCUACAACUUUUUUUAGGUUACCAACUCGGACCUUUGUGAUAUUCUCUUCUUCCUAGGCUUCUUGGAGAUUUGUGAGGUAGCUGUUUGUCAUCUGAGCAGACCUUCUUACUCCUAUAUAUGAUUUUGUUCUACUAUAGAUACAAUGUCAUAUGAGGCUUAUAUUUUCUUUUGAUUCAAUUGUAAUAUUUUAGAGGCUUGUACACAUGACAACUAGAUUUUGGGGUACUUUUGAGUUUAUUAUAGAAUUCCAUAUUUUAUUGUAAUAGUUGAGUUUUAGGCAGACUUGUCUCGGAUAAGACGAGUGUCAUCACGUUUAUUUUUGGGUCGUGACACAAAUUAAAGUUGAAUAAAAGUUAUUCUUCAUAUUUAAAUCAUCUUGUUGUUCCAGUUUAUUAAUAACAUUGGAAAUAAACUUAUGGAUUAUUCUAAUAGGUUUCUUGGGAUUGCCAAUAGGAUAAGGAUACUUGGAAAUGAACUUACUUAUAAUAGAAUAGUUUAAAAGAUAAUUGUAACUUUACCUAAUAGAUAUGAGAAUACUAUUGCUUCAUUGGAAAAUAAUAAAGAUCUGACAAAGCUUAGCUUGGAAGAUUUAUUGACUACACUGCAGGCACAAGAACAACAAAGAAUGAUGAGGCAUGAGGGAUCCAUUGAGGGAGCCUUGCAAUAAAAGUUGCAGUUCGGUUCAAAUGCCAACGGAAAAAAAGAAAAAGGAAUGAAAGGAAAUCAUUGAAACUACGAAGAGGCCACUACGACAAAUGGUGUUGCUACAACUAAGAAUAACAGAGAAGAAAAAUAUCCUCCCAACCCAACACUGUGUGAGGAGAAAUCAUCCACACAUUAUUGGAGAAAAUCUGAUAUUAAAUGCAUUAAGUUUCACAAGCUUGGUCAUGUUGAUUAUCUACAAAGAGAAGGUAUUACAACAACCAAAUGAUGCACAUAUUUCAGACAAACAAGAAGAAGAGCAACUAUUUCUAGCCACCUAUUUCGCUGUCAUAAAUUCAAGUGAAAGUUGGCUUAUUGAAAGUGGUCGUACAAACUACAUGAUCGGUGAUGAAAAUCUUUUCAGAGAACUUGAUCGAUCAAUUAAAUCAAGAAUAAGAAUCAGAAAUGUAGAAUACCUCCUUGAGAAAGGAAAGGGAGUUACUAAUGUACAAAACUUAUAUAUAAAGUUUUAUUUGUUCCUGAAAUUGAUAAGAGCUUAUAUUAAGUGUUGGGCAA